rnacentral:rRNA from 1 species
UACGAAGGGGGCUAGCGUUGUUUGGAAUUACUGGGCGUAAAGCGCGCGCAGGCGGCUAUCCAAGUCAGUGGUGAAAGCCCGGAGCUUAACUCCGGAACUGCCAUUGAAACUGUUUAGCUUGAGUAUGAGAGAGGUGAGUGGAAUUCCCAGUGUAGAGGUGAAAUUCGUAGAUAUUGGGAAGAACACCGGUGGCGAAGGCGGCUCACUGGCUCAUUACUGACGCUCAGGCGCGACAGCGUGGGGAUCAAACAGG